AAGCCAUCCAAAGAGGAUU
rnacentral:snRNA from 1 species